CACAGCUGGUGGAUGUGCCUUAAAGGAAGCUGCAGCUUGUGAAGGCAGGACCAGAAAGCCAUCCUUGACCUCUUCUUUAGUGGAAGAGUAUGUGCAAAUGUCAAAGAGCUGCUAACUGUAAUCCAUUCUCCUUCCAGUUAUUGUCAUAGGUUGAUAUUGGAAGCACAAUCACUACAAAUACAGUGAAGUGAAUAUAUAUUCAUUCCUCAGACCCAUAAAAAUGUCCAGUAGAGACUUUGUUUGUAAGAGAAUAUGGAGAACAUAUGCUACACACUGCAGAGGCACUAGGUAGUGACUAAAGGAACUUGCCUAUCAAUUGCUUAAAA